AUUGAACGCUGGCGGCAGGCCUAACACAUGCACGUCGAACGAGUGGUGGACGGGUGAGUAAUAUAUGGGAAACUGCCCGAUGGAGGGGGAUAACUACUGGAAACGGUAGCUAAUACCGCAUACAAUCGGAUGUGCCCAGAUGGGAUUAGCUAGUAGGUGGGGUAACGGCUCACCUAGGCGACGAGCCCUAGCUGGUCUGAGAGGAUGACCAGCCACACUGGAACUGAGACACGGCCCAGACUCCUACGGGAGGCAGCAGUGGGGAAUAUUGCACAAUGGGCGCAACCCUGAUGCAGCCAUGCCGCGUGUAGGAAGAAGGCCUUCGGGUUGUAAAGUACUUUCAGCGAGGAGGCGGUACUCGCAGAAGAAGCACCGGCUAACUCCGUGCCAGCAGCCGCGGUAAUUC
rnacentral:rRNA from 1 species